rnacentral:misc_RNA from 1 species
UUUCCGUAGGUGAACCUGCGGAAGGAUCAUUAACGAGUUAGGGUCUUCUAGGCCCGACCUCCCAACCCUAUGUUUAUUGAACCUCUGUUGCUUCGGCGGACCCGCCUCACGGCCGCCGGAGUACCGCUGCAAGGCGUCCUCUGGCCAGCGUCCGCCGAUGGCCAACCACUUAAACUCUGAAUGAAUCGUGUCAUAUGUCUAAGUCUAUGAUUAAAUUAAAGCAAAACUUUCAACAACGGAUCUCUUGGUUCUG